rnacentral:lncRNA from 1 species
GACAGAUAGAAUCUACACAAACAAAAGCUCUCUGAGGCCAACAGUUUUUAAUUGUGUAAAGCGGUCCUGGGACCGGAGUUUGAGAGUGGCUGAUCUAGGCUGCCUCUACAGGGCAGACUGGGGCUCAGAGAAUAAUUGCUGAUGUUGCUUCUUCCUUACCUAUUUUCCCUGAGUGGCAAACCCCCCCCAAAGCCACAGCCUUGGCUAUGGAGCCAGCCUAGAUGUCCUCUUUCUAACUUUUCUAACCAUUUCAGGAGGACCGCCACGGUGAUACUCAGGAGGAAAACUGCCAUCUGCCCAAGGCUUCAGCACCUCAAGCAGCUCCAUGGCCACGGAGAGGUUUGGAGUUCAUGGCCUCACCCUGUGACCAGAGAGGUCAGGAGAGGGGGGUGAUGAGGCGAAGGACCAAGGCGGAUGAGAUCUUCCUGCAUGAAGAGGCUUCCCAGUAAUGAGCUUCCUGCUCAUGGUGGAGAAGGCAGAGUGGUGCUGCCAGGUGAGGAAUGAAGGCGGGAUGGGAUUUGCUUGUAAAUCUAUCUGCUGCCAAGUUUUUGACCUCCUCCUUUGAGAAUUCAUUGGUAGCCCGUUGGAUUUCUUUUCUGAGACUGGGUUAUUUCUUGUUCUGGUAUCCCAGAUGUGUUGUAGUUGUCAAUGUUUAUACACUUUCCAGUUCUCGGUAUUAUUGACACCGUUGGGGAAAUAGUUGCUAGCUAAUAACAUUAUCUGUUUCUUCAUUCGUUGUGAAUUCUUCUUUUUCAUGCUCGAUGCAGGUAAGUUCAUGCUCUUCUUUCUUCUUUCAACAUCAGAUUAGCUAGUUGUCUAGACAGUACUGUGCUGGAAUUUCUUUUGAAGAGCUCCUCCCUGUUUUACCGGAUGCUAGGUUGUUGUGCCUUUCAUUUUUAGUCACUUGAUUUUUGAUUUUCAGCAUGUAGAAUAGGGUAGUUAAUGGAGCUUAAUUAAUAUUCUUCCUCUGUUGGGUUUGCUGGUUCUUUAGCUGAAGGCCCAAUUUGUUGCUUUGUUCUUUCUUUUCUUGCUGAGUGUUUAGAGAUGUCAAUUUUCCCCCAAGGAUCGUUUUGGUUGCAUACCCAAACUGUGCUUGUUAUCUUGCUGUAUCAUUGUCGUUAAUGAAAUUUUCUCAUGUCACUGAUUUGUUCUGACCCCCUAAUUCCUUGGGAGUAAGUUCUUUUUAUCUCCAGUUCAUUUGCCGGCUCUCUUUUUGAGACUGGGCAGGCCCUCCUCCCCCCUUGUCCAUCUCUGUAUGGGGAAGAAUGGGAGAGAAUUGGCCAAAGGAAGCGCCCAGGAGUGGAUGUCUUUCCAUGUUCUGAGCUGGGCACAGAUACUACACCAGGAAGGAGCCAGGGCGAAUGGGGCCCUAGAAAGGGCCCAUGUGCAAGGA